rnacentral:rRNA from 1 species
AGGAUGAACGCUGGCGGCGUGCCUAAUACAUGCAAGUCGAGCGGUAAGGCCUCUUCGGAGGUACACGAGCGGCGGACGGCUGAGUAACACGUAGGAACGUACCCCAAAGUGAGGGAUAAGCACCAGAAAAUGGUGUCUAAUACCGCAUGUGCUCUAAGGAGUAAAGCUUCGGCGCUUUGGGAACGGCCUGCGCAUGAUUAGCUUGUUGGUGAGGUAAAAGCUCACCAAGGCGACGAUCAUUAGCUGGUCUGAGAGGAUGAUCAGCCAGACUGGGACUGAGAACGGCCCAGACUCCUACGGGAGGCAGCAGUGGGGAAUAUUGCACAAUGGGCGCAAGCCUGAUGCAGCGACGCCGCGUGGGGGAUGAAGGCCUUCGGGUUGUAAACCCCUUUCACCAGGAGCGAAUUCAGACGGUACCGUGGGGAAGAAGCGCCGGCUAACUACGUGCCAGCAGCCGC